UCAUCUGAGAAACUUCAUUCUUACUCCUAGGUCUUCUUCUUGAAGCAGAAUGAAUGAAUAAAACAAACUCAUCCCAAGACUUAAGGAGACAAAAGGAGAGAUGAGAGAGAGAGAGAGAGAGAACAGACACAUAUGGCAAUGAUUCCCAAGAGCAAGACAAGAAAACAGGCAAAUUGGGGGCAAUGGAAACUGACAAGGAAGAAGUGAAAGG
rnacentral:lncRNA from 10 species